rnacentral:rRNA from 1 species
GACGAACGCUGGCGGCGUGCCUAAUACAUGCAAGUAGAACGCACAGUUUAUACCGUAGCUUGCUACACCAUACACUGUGAGUUGCGAACGGGUGAGUAACGCGUAGGUAACCUGCCUGGUAGCGGGGGAUAACUAUUGGAAACGAUAGCUAAUACCGCAUAAUAUUAAUUAUUGCAUGAUAAUUGAUUGAAAGAUGCAAUUGCAUCACUACCAGAUGGACCUGCGUUGUAUUAGCUAGUAGGUGAGGUAACGGCUCACCUAGGCGACGAUACAUAGCCGACCUGAGAGGGUGAUCGGCCACACUGGGACUGAGACACGGCCCAGACUCCUACGGGAGGCAGCAGUAGGGAAUCUUCGGCAAUAGACGAAAGUCUGACCGAGCAACGCCGCGUGAGUGAAGAAGGUUUUCGGAUCGUAAAGCUCUGUUGUAAGAGAAGAACGGGUGUGAGAGUGGAAAGUUCACACUGUGACGGUAUCUUACCAGAAAGGGACGGCUAACUACGUG